GAUACUCUCUGCUACGUUCUGCGUUCUGCGCAAGCCCGAGUCUUUGGCCCCACCCCGCCCCCAGGAGACGGUCUUCCCUGGCGAACUCGGCCAACCAUGGUGAAUUUGGGCCUGUCCCGAGUGGAUGACGCAGUGGCCGCCAAGCACCCGGGACUCGAGGAAUAUGCCGUGUGCCAGUCGAACGCCUUCAUGAAGGGCGUUUUCACCUUUGUCACAGGCACUGGUGCGACUUUCGGUCUGCAGCUGUUCAUUAAGCGGAAAUUUCCAUACCCUGUCCAGUGGAACUUUCUGGUGUCUGCCGUUGUAGGGUCUGUGGCCAGCUACAAGGUGACAAGAAUGGAGUCUCAGAAAUGCAGAGAUCUCUGGCUCUUCCUGGAGACAGGGAAACUCCCCAAAGACAUGAGCACAGACCAUCAAGACUAGAAGAGCUCUGGCUGCUGGGGUGUGGAGGAUCUGUCUCGGAGAAAUCCUGGAGCACAGACUUUGACCCCAUCUAACUACAGGGCAGAACAGAGUUAGCUGCUGCCAGAGUCCAGGCAGGGGCAUGAGUCAUGCCCACCCACUUGGCAUCAGUGAAGCCCCUUCUCCAAGAAGUAAGAAGCAGCAGAGCUCCAAAGGAAAUGGCUGGGGGAGUGAGACCACCCAUACCAACCAGCCCCAUUAAAAAGAACAGAGAUGGUCCCAACCUUGGCAUUCCAGGAGCACAAAGACUUGGUCUUGGCCUGCUUGUACACCUCUACCAAGCUUGUCAAUCGGAAGUCUAUGAGAAUAAAGUGGUGGGCAAAGUGGCAGUAGGCCUCACAUAGUAGAAGCUUGAGCCAACUUAGAUUUCUUGUAGAAAUCUAGGUAAGUGGUCUAUCAGUGUGUGUGCUGUUGCCAACAACAUACCACAGACUUGGACAGAUUAUAAUAAUUAAAAAACAUGUUUUAGCCCAUGGUUCUGGAGGCCCAAGGCCCAACAGCCAUUUGGUGGUGGCUGUCAUUCUGGCAGAGUCCAGACACAUCACAGGUCAUAUGGCCAGAAAGAGAGCAUACAUGUCGCUUCCUCUUCCUAUAAAGUCAUCAAGGUUUGACCAUGGUGGCUCUACCCUGGUAACUUCAAUUCUUAUCAUCUCUCAAAAGCCCUACCUUGAAUGACACAGUCCUAUUUUCUACCCUCUUAAAACCUCACAAUGGGGUGGAGGUGGGGGUAAACUCCAGCAUGAGCUUUGGAGGACAAGCCAUCUUCAGACCCUGGCAGUGUCUUAAAAGCUGUUCUGGGGCCAGGGACCCAGGCUUCCCUCAAUCUCUUCCCUGUUGUAAUGGCUCCCACUUCUCAACCUAGCUCAUUGUGCCAGGUGGCUUCACCAGCUCCAGCUACUGCAUCUUCAUCCCAUUUAACAGAAAGAAGAAAGGAAGAGGACAGUUCUUCCACCAUGUCUGUAUACAUACUACCGGCCAGAACUAAGACACAUGGUACAUCUACUGAAAGGAAACCCAGGAAGGCAGCCUUGCUCUAGACAGCCAUUUGUCCCACUACAAUUCAGGAGUUCUGUAUCUGAGGGAAAAGAAAGAGUCAAUACUAGGGGAUAUAAGUUGACUCCGCCUCAGCUGGAUACCAAGCUGGGACACCAAAAUCUAGGGAGGUAAGGUUAGCAGCUAUGGCCAUCGCAGGUCCUUCCAGCCCUCUUGAGGAUGAGGCGUAGACCAGAAGGGAGGCAGAUGGUAAACAGAGUUUAGACUGUACAGGAAAGUGUCUAAAAGGUAAGGGAUCCUUGUGAGAAGGCAGGAAGAUAGACACUAAUGUGCCCUGUGUUAUACACAUGGUCUGACUACAUAACCCCCCAAAUUCAUAUACUCAAGUCCUAGCCCACAGGAUCUCAGAAGGCAACUACUGGAGAUGAACCCUUUAAUGAAGUCAUUAGGGCUAACUGAUGCUAUGGGUCUAAUCAGUCUUUCUGGCAUCCUUAUAAGAGGAGACUGCGACACAGAUGGGCACAGAGGGACAACCACGUGAGAUCACAGGAACAGAAAGCAUUGACAGCAGAGGGGAAACACAGCAGAAGAACCAGCCAUUGGACACCCUGACCCAGCCUUCUACUCACAGACUGAAGAAUAAAUGUCUGAAGAGUCUCUGGUGUCCAAUGGAGCUCCUGAAGCAGCAACCUCAAGACUCAUUUCCAUUAGGGCAAGUACCCAGAGGUGUCCCUGAGGAUGAAUUUGAAAGGGUGAAUUCCAGAAGGAUGGAAUUUCAGGGUUCCCAGGGCAUUGAGAACCUUGGUCCCGUCACAAUGACCUGAAAUUCCAAGGACAAUCUCAACCUAGGCUCAGUUGAGCAGGCAACUGCACAGGGAGGGCGAAAGGCGCACAGGGCCCCUGGAGGACCUUUAGGCCCACCAUGAAGAUUCACAAUGAAGUGGCUAAAGCGACUGUGGAGGCGCAAAUACAGGAGCUAAGGACCAUCACUAGGCUCCAGGGUGAGCCUCACACUGAGGACUGCCACUCUGGCAACUUGCCAUUCUACUACCCACCCAGGCCCCCACAGUGGGCAAAAGUCACAGAAGGGUCUGUUGUGUGAGGGGAGUUUCAAGGAGAUUUGUGUAUUUACCACAAUAUUGUUCCAAAGUUGGAGGGGUGGAGGAGGGGUCUGCCUGUUUCUGGGCACAGAAGCUCUGAAAGAGACAGGGUUCCCCAUCCCUGGUCUUAGCUUCCCCCCUCCCCCUCUUUACUGCCCAGUAUCCAUCUCUGGAGAGCCUUGCAGAUUACCACUUUGAGUGGAGAAGCCUGAGUCUUCCAGAACAGGAAGGGGAAAGAGGAGAGAAAUGGUCACAGAGGCGAUGCCGUAUUCCACCAGGCUCUCUGGGUAUUUUGCUGAGAUUCCCAGUCAGUCCUUUGGCCUACUGUCUGGUAAUCUUGUUCCCUCUGUCACCUACAGAACAAUGUCGGGCGCUCCAGAUCCAGAGUGUGAAGGAGAAGACAGCACAGAA